AGAGCCCUAGGUUCAUAUGGUCGGACCUAGAGUGUCGGGCUCAUAGAUGUUAUAGAAGGUCAAGCACAAUAGGAAAGGUCAUGUCCACUAGGAUAGGAUGUGGAGUCCUGUCUUGUAUGAUGAUGUGAAAUGCCAUGAUUAUAUACAUGUACAUUAAUGCUAUGAUAUGAAUGAUAUGUAUGUGAUGCGGGUUCAUGUGUGCCCACAUGAACCAUAUGAUGCUAACGUUUAUGUGAUGUGUACUGUUUUUCAGAAAACAGGAUGAGAGGAACUCGUCGAUCUGCACGAUUGACUGGAGUGCCACCUGAGGAUGAGGGCAUGAGCGCCCGUCCUCCUGCAUUGCCUAGGGCAAUGUCUAGUAGGGCUAGCAGAGAAAGAGCAGCAAAAGACCCUAGAAGGUCUCUGGAUCUGGGUAGAAGCAGAUAAGUGAGGG
rnacentral:lncRNA from 1 species